GAUGAAGAACGCAGCGAAACGCGAUAUGUAAUGUGAAUUGCAGAAUUCAGUGAAUCAUCGAAUCUUUGAACGCACAUGGCGCCUUCCAGUAUCCUGGGAGGCAUGCCUGUCCGAGCGUCGUUUCAACCCUCGAGCCCCCGUGGCCCGGCGUUGGGGAUCUGCCACGGCAGGCCCCUAAAACCAGUGGCGGACCCGAAGGCCCUCUCCUUUGCGCAGUAGCAUCAGCCUCGCAUUGGGAUCCCUCGGCGUCCUGCCUCUAAACCCCCCACAAGUCCGCUCCGGCGGCACCAAGGUUGACCUCGGAUCAGGCAGGAAUACCCGCUGAACUUAAGCAUAUCAAUAAGCGGAGGA
rnacentral:misc_RNA from 1 species